UGCUGGCUGCGCGACACGUUAGGAAACAUUAUCCCCGGGGCCUUAAGCAUUCCCUUGGGAGCUGUCCCUGCUUCGGACCGUGGUCUGUUGCACACGGCGCCCACCUACGUCGUAGGUAUCCCGGGAUUGCAAUUCCGACGGUCGGGCGGCUGCUG
rnacentral:other from 1 species